GAUGAACGCUGGCGGCGUGCCUAAUACAUGCAAGUCGAGCGAACGGACGAGAAGCUUGCUUCUCUGAUGUUAGCGGCGGACGGGUGAGUAACACGUGGAUAACCUACCUAUAAGACUGGGAUAACUUCGGGAAACCGGAGCUAAUACCGGAUAAUAUUUUGAACCGCAUGGUUCAAAAGUGAAAGACGUUCUUGCUGUCACUUAUAGAUGGAUCCGCGCUGCAUUAGCUAGUUGGUAAGGUAACGGCUUACCAAGGCAACGAUGCAUAGCCGACCUGAGAGGGUGAUCGGCCACACUGGAACUGAGACACGGUCCAGACUCCUACGGGAGGCAGCAGUAGGGAAUCUUCGGCAAUGGGCGAAAGCCUGACGGAGCAACGCCGCGUGAGUGAUGAAGGUCUUCGGAUCGUAAAACUCUGUUAUUAGGGAAGAACAGAUGUGUAAGUAACUGUGCACAUCUUGACGGUACCUAAUCAGAAAGCAACGGCUAACUACGUG
rnacentral:rRNA from 1 species